GUAUAUAUAGGCUGCCCAAAAGAUAUACAUGGAUAUAGAUAUCGAGCCCUCAAAAGUCGUGCCCUCAAAAGGCGUGCCAUCAAAAGGCGUGCCCGAAUGCAUCAAAAGGCGUGCCAUGAAAAGGCGUGCCAGUUUGUCGGCGAGAAGAGGCGCGCGUGCGCGUGGCUGCCUCGGCUAUUUAACCAAGACGGAGCUGAGGCCGAGGCAGAGGCUGAGACAAGAAACUGAGAGAAACCUCUGAAGAAUUCUGGCGUGUGCUGAGAGAGAGAGGCUGUAACACUGUUGUGCUGAGAGAGAGAGUCUGUAACACUCUGUUGCGAGAGAAAAAUGGCUUCGUCGUCCCGUGGGCUGCUCACUCUCUUUCCCGAUCUCAACGAGUCCACAGGAGAGAGAACUGGUGCGAGUGUCCCGUGAACCUCAACCAAACACCACUGGUUUGCUCCGUUGAACUUUCCGAUGCAG